UCCUGGGUGGCUCAGUCUGUUAAGCAUCUGACUUUGGAUCAGAUCAUGAUCUCACAGUUUGUGAGUUCGAGUCCCACUUCAGGUG
rnacentral:tRNA from 1 species